rnacentral:rRNA from 1 species
CUAACACAUGCAAGUCGAGCGGAAACGACACUAACAAUCCUUCGGGUGCGUUAAUGGGCGUCGAGCGGCGGACGGGUGAGUAAUGCCUAGGAAAUUGCCUUGAUGUGGGGGAUAACCAUUGGAAACGAUGGCUAAUACCGCAUAAUGCCUACGGGCCAAAGAGGGGGACCUUCGGGCCUCUCGCGUCAAGAUAUGCCUAGGUGGGAUUAGCUAGUUGGUGAGGUAAUGGCUCACCAAGGCGACGAUCCCUAGCUGGUCUGAGAGGAUGAUCAGCCACACUGGAACUGAGACACGGUCCAGACUCCUACGGGAGGCAGCAGUGGGGAAUAUUGCACAAUGGGCGAAAGCCUGAUGCAGCCAUGCCGCGUGUAUGAAGAAGGCCUUCGGGUUGUAAAGUACUUUCAGUUGUGAGGAAGGGGGUAGCGUUAAUAGCUCUAUCUCUUGACGUUAGCAACAGAAGAAGCACCGGCUAACUCCGUGCCAGCAGCCGCGGUAAUACGGAGGGUGCGAGCGUUAAUCGGAAUUACUGGGCGUAAAGCGCAUGCAAGUGGUUCAUUAAGUCAGAUGUGAAAGCCCGGGGCUCAACCUCGGAACUGCAUUUGAAACUGGUGAACUAGAGUACUGUAGAGGGGGUAGAAUUUCAGUGUAGCGGUGAAAUGCGUAGAGAUCUGAAGGAAUACCAAUGGCGAAGGCGGCCCCCUGGACAGAUACUGACACU